rnacentral:rRNA from 1 species
CAGUCGCCGCGGUAAUACGUAGGUCCCGAGCGUUGUCCGGAUUUAUUGGGCGUAAAGGGAGCGCAGGCGGUUUAGUAAGUCUGAAGUUAAAGGCAUUGGCUCAACCAAUGUAUGCUUUGGAAACUGUUAGACUUGAGUGCAGAAUGGGAGAGUGGAAUUCCAUGUGUAGCGGUGAAAUGCGUAGAGGUGUGGAGGAACACCAGUGGCGAAGGCGACUCUCUGGUCUGUAACUGACGCUGAGGAGCGAAAGCGUGGGGAGCGAACAGGAUUAGAUACCCCGGUAGUCCCUGUCUCUUAUACA